rnacentral:rRNA from 1 species
GUGAGGAAUAUUGGACAAUGGGCGGGAGCCUGAUCCAGCCAUGCCGCGUGCAGGAAGACUGCCCUAUGGGUUGUAAACUGCUUUUGUACAGGAAGAAACACUCCCUCGUGAGGGAGCUUGACGGUACUGUAAGAAUAAGGAUCGGCUAACUCCGUGCCAGCAGCCGCGGUAAUACGGAGGAUCCAAGCGUUAUCCGGAAUCAUUGGGUUUAAAGGGUCCGUAGGUGGAUGAUUAAGUCAGAGGUGAAAUCCUGCAGCUCAACUGUAGAAUUGCCUUUGAUACUGGUUGUCUUGAAUUAUUGUGAAGUAGUUAGAAUAUGUGGUGUAGCGGUGAAAUGCAUAGAUAUCACAUAGAAUACCGAUUGCGAAGGCAGAUUACUAACAAUACAUUGACACUGAUGGACGAAAGCGUGGGGAGCGAACAGGAUUAGAUACCCUAGUAGUCC